UGCAGUCGAACGGCAGCACGGAGCUUGCUCUGGUGGCGAGUGGCGAACGGGUGAGUAAUAUAUCGGAACGUACCCUGGAGUGGGGGAUAACGUAGCGAAAGUUACGCUAAUACCGCAUACGAUCUAAGGAUGAAAGUGGGGGAUCGCAAGACCUCAUGCUCGUGGAGCGGCCGAUAUCUGAUUAGCUAGUUGGUAGGGUAAAAGCCUACCAAGGCAUCGAUCAGUAGCUGGUCUGAGAGGACGACCAGCCACACUGGAACUGAGACACGGUCCAGACUCCUACGGGAGGCAGCAGUGGGGAAUUUUGGACAAUGGGCGAAAGCCUGAUCCAGCAAUGCCGCGUGAGUGAAGAAGGCCUUCGGGUUGUAAAGCUCUUUUGUCAGGGAAGAAACGGUGAGAGCUAAUAUCUCUUGCUAAUGACGGUACCUGAAGAAUAAGCACCGGCUAACUACGUGCCAGCAGCCGCGGUAAUACGUAGGGUGCAAGCGUUAAUCGGAAUUACUGGGCGUAAAGCGUGCGCAGGCGGUUUUGUAAGUCUGAUGUGAAAUCCCCGGGCUCAACCUGGGAAUUGCAUUGGAGACUGCAAGGCUAGAAUCUGGCAGAGGGGGGUAGAAUUCCACGUGUAGCAGUGAAAUGCGUAGAUAUGUGGAGGAACACCGAUGGCGAAGGCAGCCCCCUGGGUCAAGAUUGACGCUCAUGCACGAAAGCGUGGGGAGCAAACAGGAUUAGAUACCCUGGUAGUCCACGCCCUAAACGAUGUCUACUAGUUGUCGGGUCUUAAUUGACUUGGUAACGCAGCUAACGCGUGAAGUAGACCGCCUGGGGAGUACGGUCGCAAGAUUAAAACUCAAAGGAAUUGACGGGGACCCGCACAAGCGGUGGAUGAUGUGGAUUAAUUCGAUGCAACGCGAAAAACCUUACCUACCCUUGACAUGGCUGGAAUCCCCGAGAGAUUGGGGAGUGCUCGAAAGAGAACCAGUACACAGGUGCUGCAUGGCUGUCGUCAGCUCG
rnacentral:rRNA from 1 species